rnacentral:rRNA from 1 species
GAUGAACGCUGACAGAAUGCUUAACACAUCAGCAAUUGAUUGGUGGCGGACGGGUGAGUACCGCGUAAAGAACUUGCCUCACAGCUAGGGACAACAUUUGGAAACGAAUGCUAAUACCUAAUACUGUGAGAGUGCGUUGCGUCCCAUUAGCUAGUUGGAGAGGUAACGGCUCACUAAGGCGAGGAUGGGUAGCCGGCCUGAGAGGGUGAUCGGCCACAAGGGGACUGAGACACGGCCCUUACGCCUACGUGAGGCAGAAGUGGGGAAUAUAGGACAAUGGACCAAAGUCUGAUCCAGCAAUUCUGUGUGCACGGUGAAGUUUUCGGAAGGAAAAGUGCUUGCAGUUGGGAAGCGGUACCAACAGAAGAAGUGACGGCUAAAUACGUGCCAGCAGCCGCGGUAAUUC